CGGCGAUGGGUUCUGGUGGCUAGGGUUAGGGUUUGGAUGCGGAUGGAGUUAUUUAUACCAAUUCGCUUUUGAUCUGGACUAUCAAUCGUUUUUUAUUUAUACCGUCCGAUCGCGAUUAAAUAGGGAGUGAAUCUGUACCGUUCAUCGCGAUCCAAUCUUGCCCGUCCAUAUGCGAUUCACUAUGGAUCGUCCGUGCGCGCGGGAACGGACCUCAACCGUUCAAUCGAGCGCACACGGAUCGCCCACAUGGCUCCCCUCGCGUGGCCUCCCGCGUCAGUGCCUCUACCAUUUAGCGCGUCCUGGUUGGUCGGGGCUGCUGACCG
rnacentral:lncRNA from 1 species